UUCCCARUCCCUGCCCCCUGUGCUGCUAAAUGCCCAUAUAACUCUGAUAUCUGUUUCUCAGGACUUGAAAAUUACCUUGAAAGAUGUUAUCUUGUGAGACCAUCUCUUUAUGAGAAAGGGAAGCUGUACCUUGGGAAUCAAAUAUCGACAAGUCUGCAAAAUCCAUCCUCGUCAGAAGUUAUGUUUUCUGCUGAGGGAGAGCCAUGCUUCUCAUCAUCAUGGAAAGCGAUAGAAGAUCAAAUCUGGCUGACGCCUUCUCUGUUGGUCAUCUGGCCCAUAAUUCAGAUGCAUAUUUUGACGUUGACCAGCACAGGCUACCAGGGAAGCUCAUAACUCCUGCAUCAAAGGAUCUGAAUUUAGCUCAUCAAAUUAAGCAGUGAARCCUCCUUCCCCAGUUAAUGGGGAGAGACAGGCUCCAGCUCUGAGUCAGCUACUGGAGGAGCAUGRCUGAAGUGAUCUGGAUUGCUCCUCUAAAGGAGACGAUCUCUCUCCAAUGAUUGAGAGGGAUGGCUGAAUGACUCCAUAUAUAUCUUCAGAGAAGUUACAACUUCCAUUAAAUACUGCUUCUUUAGCAAUGUUGAGUCAAGGUUUCAGUCAAGUCACUCUGGCUGCUAUUCACCAGGCCAGAGCUGCGACUUUGCUCCCAGUGUCAACUCUUGUUGAAUAAAGGGUCCCAAAAUAGCCUGUCUCCUGAAGAGAAGCUCUUUCAAAGGUGAAGUGCUUGAACAGGGGAGAACAGGAAGGGGUGGAGAGAAGAAUCUUUCCUUAUUUUUCAGUAGCUUUUUCUUCACACUUCUUUGGGAAAGCUACAGCUCAUGUGGAAAAUAGGCAUGAGGUGGGACUCGUAUGGCAAGAGUGCAAAUAAGGAUCAAGGAUGAGGUCUAAACAGAAGGACAGGAACUGUUCCUGAAGAAGGAGAUGUCAUAGCACAACCUGGAUGAGGAAGUGAAAAACCAAAAACAUUAUUUCUUUGCACACAGGAGAUCAAAUAACUUCCA